AGUCAUCAACCCCUCGAGCUUUUCGGAGCGAGAGGCCGGUUGGAGCUGGGGGACUGCCGCCGAAGGGCGGCUCCCCUCAAAUGCGUCGGUUCGGGCCUGAGGGUCGAACUCGACUGGGCGUUGUAACCAUCCUCGCUCGCGUCGAGAAGUUCCCCGAUUCGCGCCUGACCACGACCUGCCGACGAGCGGCGGUCAAGCCUUCUUUUUGAAAU
rnacentral:misc_RNA from 1 species